rnacentral:rRNA from 1 species
AGCUCCAGUAGCGUAUAUUAAAGUUGUUGCAGUUAAAAAGCUCGUAGUUGGAUUUCUGGCGUGACGCGCCUGGCCCGCCGUGAUUUACACGUGUGUGUGCCGGAUAGCGCGUCUGCCAUCCUUCUAGAGAACGAUUUUCUUCCUUCACUGGUUAGAAUCUCGGGCUCUAGAUCUUUUACUUUGAAAAAAUUAGAGUGUUCAAAGCAGGCUUGCGCUAUGAAUACAUUAGCAUGGAAUAAUAAUUUAGGACUUUGUGUUCUAUUUUGUUGGUUUCUAGGACGAAAGUAAUGAUUGAUAGGGAUAGUUGGGGGUGCUAGUAUUUACCGGCCAGAGGUGAAAUUCUCGGAUUCGGUAAAGACUAACUUAUGCGAAAGCAUUCACCAAGGAUGUCUUCUUUAAU